GGAAGUGUGGCCGAGCGGUUGAAGGCACCGGUCUUGAAAACCGGCGACCCGAANAGNGGUUCCAGAGUUCGAAUCUCUGCGCUUCCGCCA
rnacentral:tRNA from 1 species